GAGGAACAAGAGGCUGCCACCGCGGCUGCUGUAGCCGAGGUGGGGCCGGUCUGUUGGUUUUACGUGCUCUCGCUGUGCGCCUCGCUGUUGCUCGAAUCUGAUGGUCGUGGUACCUGUACGAGCCGCAAUACAACGAGGAACAGUUACGGAUGAUUGAGCAACAAGAGGCUGCCACCGCGGCUGCUGUAGCUGGUGGUGUGAGCGCUCUCGCUGUGCGCCUAUGGACACCGAAAGAGAAUCAUAUUGCUGUCGCGAAUUUCAGCGAUGGCAUUUUCUUCUUGAACCCCGCAAGGAGAAACGGAGGCAUGAGUAUAAAACAAUCGACUUACAUCCUAUCGUCAUUUCUUGGAAUGAGUUUUGCAAGGCGAAAGACUGGGGAAAGGACAUCAACUUGUUUUACCUGCCUGUGUUCGUUGUCCAGGACAUCAGACGUAGAUAUCCAGCUCCUCACGGACAUUAUAGCGACUAUAAAUAAACGGAUGAAGCUCUGGAUGAGCUAUAAGUGUGAAUUGUUUAUGUUUUUUAAUAAAAAGUUAUAACUCACA